rnacentral:rRNA from 1 species
GAUGAACGCUGGCGGCAGGCUUAACACAUGCAAGUCGAGCGCCCCGCAAGGGGAGCGGCAGACGGGUGAGUAACGCGUGGGAACGUACCCUUUGCUACGGAAUAGCUCCGGGAAACUGGAAUUAAUACCGUAUGUGCCCUACGGGGGAAAGAUUUAUCGGCAAAGGAUCGGCCCGCGUUGGAUUAGCUAGUUGGUGGGGUAAUGGCCUACCAAGGCGACGAUCCAUAGCUGGUCUGAGAGGAUGAUCAGCCACAUUGGGACUGAGACACGGCCCAAACUCCUACGGGAGGCAGCAGUGGGGAAUAUUGGACAAUGGGCGCAAGCCUGAUCCAGCCAUGCCGCGUGAGUGAUGAAGGCCUUAGGGUUGUAAAGCUCUUUCACCGGAGAAGAUAAUGACGGUAUCCGGAGAAGAAGCCCCGGCUAACUUCGUGCCAGCCGCCGCGGUAA